GAUCAAGAAGUUCAGCCUCUAAGCCCUUCGGCAGGCUGACUGGCAACCGCGCAACGCACACGGUGCCCCCGAAGGAAGAUCCGCUCUGUACUCAAAAGACUGCAGAGAAGAGCGAUUA
rnacentral:ncRNA from 2 species